rnacentral:rRNA from 1 species
GUCUACAGCCAUGGCACCCUGAACGCACCCAAUCUUGGAAGCUAAGCAGGGUCAGGCCUAGUUAGUACUUGAAUGGGAAACAACAGAUUUACUAGGGGCCAGGAAAUA